UUUUCAUAUUUUGUUGAAGAUAAUUUGUUACAGUAUUGUUCAUAUUUCCUGAUUUAUCCCUUUGGAAGAGUUGUCAAGGGCUCGAUGUUCUGUUCUUGAUCCUCCUUGGGAAGGACAAAACUUGAUUCCUGGUGAUGUUUUAUUGGCAAUGCUGUUAUGGCUUCAAUACAAAGGUUGGGUCUUAAAGGGAAGUUCGAUGAGGCGUUGAAGUAAGUGCAUGAGAUAGAGAAACAAAGACUGAUAUGUGAUUAGUAGACACAAUUCUUAUAUGGUGGCAAUCUAUGAUUCAGAUUUUUAUAAGUGCAUGAGAUAGAGAAAUGAGUUCGGAUAAGGCUUGCAUUGGAUCAAGCAAUUGUAGUGUUGACGCAUAUAAGAAAAGCUUCUUCAAGAGCCUGGCUCAUAUGUUGGUGAAGUUUUCAAAAUUAUCGGCAAGAACAACGCGUAGUCGGAGAUCAGCUAAUUUUCUGUUCUAAUUUGGAUCAAAACAAUUUACCCCACACUUCACUGCUAUAUAUCAAUCUGUCAUUAUCAUCUGCUGAAUAUGGUUUUGUAUUCACAUAUUAUCCUCCUACCUACUGUGUCGGGAUUCCGUUGUUUUACCUUUACGAAUCACCUAUUCGAACUCAAAUUUUCUCAAAUUGGUAGUAGGUCCAAUGAAUAAAGCAUUAGAGUUUCAAAUCAAGUUAAUCUUUAUGUUUGUAAUUUUUCCAUUGUUAUUCAUGUUUUGUUGUUUGUUGUUUUUCAUGGAUUUUUUUUGGACAAAAAGAAUAUGCAAAAGCAGCAAAACUUGCAAAUCCGACAAUGGUGAUGAUGGGAAUGUGAUUUUGUGUUUUUUGGAUCUGCGAUGAUGGCUCACCGGAGCUGUUAUGACGGUGGUGAAGUGGCGUCGCAGCUGUUGAGUUUCACUUCUCAUUUAAAAAUUAUGAGUUUUUUAUAUUUGGAUUAUAGUGUGUUGAGUUUAAUAAUAUAGUGCUAUGAAGUUGAAGAUACUGUCAAAUUUGUUGCAGAAAAAUAGUUAAUAACCUUAUAGAAUAUUGU